AUGACUGUGCCGUGCCUCUUUUUAUCCACAGAACAGGGACAGCACAGGCAGACAUUAUGCAGGCUUCCAUCAGACCUUGCUCCCAACCAAUGUGCCAAACAUCUGGGGCCACCUGUAGCAAUCUGAGGGCAAUUUAGUCUCCAUGUCUCCUUUCAAUGUUUUGUCCCU
rnacentral:sRNA from 1 species